UGAACGCUGGCGGCAGGCCUAACACAUGCACGUCGAGCGGAUGAAGGGAGCUUGCUCCUGGAUUCAGCGGCGGACGGGUGCGUAAUGCCUAGGAAUCUGCCUGGUAGUGGGGGAUAACGUCCGGAAACGGGCGCUAAUACCGCAUACGUCCUGAGGGAGAAAGUGGGGGAUCUUCGGACCUCACGCUAUCAGAUGAGCCUAGGUCGGAUUAGCUAGUUGGUGGGGUAAAGGCCUACCAAGGCGACGAUCCGUAACUGGUCUGAGAGGAUGAUCAGUCACACUGGAACUGAGACACGGUCCAGACUCCUACGGGAGGCAGCAGUGGGGAAUAUUGGACAAAGGGCGAAAGCCUGAUCCAGCCAUGCCGCGUGUGUGAAGAAGGUCUUCGGAUUGUAAAGCACUUUAAGUUGGGAGGAAGGGCAGUAAGUUAAUACCUUGCUGUUUUGACGUUACCAACAGAAUAAGCACCGGCUAACUUCGUG
rnacentral:rRNA from 1 species